rnacentral:rRNA from 1 species
GACGAACGCUGGCGGCGUGCUUAACACAUGCAAGUCGAACGGAAAGGCCUCUUUCGGGGGGUACUCGAGUGGCGAACGGGUGAGUAACACGUGAGUAACCUGCCCUUGACUUUGGGAUAACUUCAGGAAACUGGGGCUAAUACCGGAUAGGAGCUCCUGCUGCAUAGUGGGGGUUGGAAAGUUUCGGCGGUUGGGGAUGGACUCGCGGCUUAUCAGCUUGUUGGUGGGGUAGUGGCUUACCAAGGCUUUGACGGGUAGCCGGCCUGAGAGGGUGACCGGCCACAUUGGGACUGAGAUACGGCCCAGACUCCUACGGGAGGCAGCGGUGGGGAAUAUUGCACAAUGGGUGGAAGCCUGAUGCAGCAACGCCGUGUGCGGGAUGACGGCCUUCGGGUUGUAAACCGCUUUCGCUCAUGACGAAGCUUUGUGUGACGGUAGUGGGUAAAGAAGCACCGGCUAACUACGUG